GACGUAGGGGGCCAGCGUUGUUCGGAAUUACUGGGUGUAAAGGGUUCGUAGGCGGUGCGGCAAGUUGGGAGUGAAAUCUCGUGGGCUUAACCCAGAGGCUGCUUCCAAAACUGCUGUGCUUGAGUGUGGGAGAGGCGCGUGGAAUUGCAGGUGUAGCGGUGAAAUGCGUAGAUAUCUGCAGGAACACCCGUGGCGAAAGCGGCGCGCUGGACCACUACUGACGCUGAGGAACGAAAGCUAGGGGAGCAAACAGG
rnacentral:rRNA from 1 species